rnacentral:rRNA from 1 species
GGGCCCGCACAAGCAGUGGAGUAUGUGGUUUAAUUCGAUGCAACGCGAAAAACCUUACCUACUCUUGACAUACUUGGGAGCUCUUGUAAUGAGAGUGUGCCUUUUGGAACCAAGAUACAGGUGCUGCAUGGCUGUCGUCAGCUCGUGUCGUGAGAUGUUCCGUUAAGUCGGAUAACGAGCGCAACCCUUACCCUUAUUUGCCAGCGAUACGGUCGGGAACUAUAAGGGGACUGCCGGUGAUAAACCGGAGGAAGGUGAGGACGACGUCAAGUCAUCAUGGCCCUUACGAGUAGGGCUACACACGUGCUACAAUGGGGAAUACAGACGGACGCUAAGCCGCGAGGUGGUGCUAAUCCUAGAAAGUUUCUCGUAGUCCGGAUUGGAGUCUGCAACUCGACUCCAUGAAGUCGGAAUCGCUAGUAAUCG